GAGAAAAUCACGUACAUCACUCCAAUAACAUCAGUAAAACAAAUAGCGAACUUAGGACACAACGACACAAUCAGCCCCACUUAGCUAAAUGCUAGCCAGCUAAGCUAAUGCUAGUAGGAAGCUAGUCAGCACCAUAAACAAAAAAGAGCGUUUAAGUUGGCUUUUGCCUGAUAAGAACGCACCUGGUUUGCAAACAACCGCCCUAGACGACUGUCUUUACUUUAAAUUGACUACUAAAAAAAAGUCGGAUGAACCAGUACGAAAGGCUUAUAGUUUCUUUGUGUUUCCCCUUUAGUCAUUGAGUGGAUUUUCCCUGCAUCACUUCCUCCCAACAGAGCACCAGUUAGACAGCUAGCAACUAUACCAUCCACUGAUCUGUGUGGAUGGGGUCCCCUGUUCAGAUUUAGUUCAAAAUUGUAGUAGCUGGCAACCUGACUAAUACAGCUAAAACCCAACGAACAUGAAUUAACAUAAUAUUUGGUGAAAUCGUUUAACUUGAAGGGCUUUGAAAAGUGAAUGAAAAAAAUGACUAUUUAAUUGUUUCGAAGCGACUUUAACAACACUAAUUGCUGCGAACACACCUCUCAAAAUACGUCAAUUUAAUCGUCAUUUCAAUGCGACAUGUUGUCAAAAAGCUAACAGCACAGCAGGUAGUUUUCCCCCGGUGAUGCACUGUGCAGACCGCACCACCCUCUGGAAAGCCCUGCGGUUGUGGACGAUGCAGUUGCCGUACCAGGCGGUGAUGCAGCCCGACAGGAUGCUCUCAAUUGUGCAUCUGUAAAAGUUUGUGGGGGUUUUCGGUGACAAGCCACAUUUCUUCAGCCUCCUGAGGUUGAAUGGUGCUUUCAAGACAACUGGGAACUCUGAAAAAUACUAGGUCAAAUCAUGACGUCAGUGAUCUUCAGGUCGGAAAGUCGGAGCUCUAGAAAGAGGCCAGAGUUCCCGAGUUGGAAUUAAUACUUGGAUGUUCAAACCAAUUCAAACCAAUUUUUCAUCGUCAGAGCUUGUUUUUUUCUGAGUUCCCAGUUGUCUAGAACACACUGAAGUCGGAGAUUCCGAGUUCCCGGUUGUUUUGAACGCAGCAUAAUUCUAGGCUACAUAAGACAGCUUCUACAUGUAUUGCUUGCUAUUUGGGGUUUUAGUUUGGGAUUCUGUAUACGC
ensembl:lncRNA